UUGACUAAUUACGGAUCUAACCUUGUCUUACCAAUUCUGUCUGCUCGCACACUACAUUUCUGCUGACAUGCCAUGAUGAGCAAUACAUUUUGUCACGUACUUCAAGACUUUAUUUGAAACACACAAUGAACUUUUAAUAGAACUUUGAUGAACUUUAAUAAAAACCUUUUCAGUUGCCUUUAUAUUCUUUGUCCUGUGUUUAGUCUGCGUCGGAUCAUUGCACUUUGUAGCCCGUCUGGUUCUUCAUGUCUUUUGCCACGUCUCGUCCAAGUGAGUUUUUCAGCUGCCUCGUUAGCCUUUUUGAUUUAAUAAAGCUUUGUUUUUUCUUCACCCGAACUCUGCCUGUGCCCUGGGUCAUUCUACGUCUAAACCUGACAGCAAGAGUUUAGAAUUCAAGAUGGCAGCUACUUUUUACAACUCAACAGUCUCGAAGGGAAUCCCAGACAUCCCUCUCCUCAGAAACACUUCCUGAGGGCAUUCCAAGAGGAUUCAAGUUCUGGGUCUGCCCCGGAGUCUCCUUCCAGUGGGACGUGCCUGGAAAGCAUCCAGAUGGAGGUUCCUAGAAAGCAUCCUAAUCAGACGUCAGAACGGAAAAGAGGAAGAAACCCAUUUCAACUGUUUGUAUCAGAUCUCAGACUAAAACCAAACCUUUCAUUUUCAACUCAACUCAGUUCUUUCUUCAAUUGACUAAAGUGACCCCCCUCAUCACUGCUAAAAGGCCAACAUCCAUCCAUCCAUCCAUCCAUCCAUCCAUCCAUCCAUCCAUCCAUCCAUCCAUCCAUCCAUCCAUCCAUCCAUCCAUCCAUCCAUCCAUCCAUCACUCCCAGAUGAGCUCCUUGAGGCAAAGGUAAAAAUGAACCAAAUCAAUAAGGUGUUUCUGUAUCGUUUUUUUCUGAACCGUUAAAAGAACUUGCCUGUACCCUUUGAAACGACCUUUGCCUCGUCUAUUUUCUUUUAAAAAGAAUUGAAACCCUUAAAAAGGGAACUUACAGAUUUUUUGGAUGUAACACCGCRGUUAAAGACUUAUUUUAUUCAAAUUGUUGUUUUAUGAUUAAAUACCCGCGACACAAAUUACACGAGCUGACGUUUCUGUUUACUGCCGUUAAUUAAAUGUCAGCAGGCGGACUUUUUUCAGAAACGGAGACAGAGAUUGUUAAAGAGGGAGCGCAUCUGUGUGAUUCCAUCAAAUGACUCAUUUUACAGGUUUUAUUCAGACCAAGGCCACAAAGAAAUACAGAAGAAUAAAAACUCAAGGUUUUUGGGGGGAAAUAAUAAGGAACAGGUAAAAGAAGAAAAUAAAAGAAACGAAGAAA